ACAGUGUAGUCACGCUACAGCGCAAACUCAUGAUGGAGCCUGUGCCGCGUCAUUUUACAAUUNANNUCANGUGGCNACCGGAGUGAGUAACACGUGACUAGCCUACCUCCGAAUGGGGAAUAAAUCCGGGAAACCGGGGCUAGUACCGCAUAACACCGCAAGGUCAAAGCAGCUAUGCGUUUGGAGAGGGGGUCGCGGCUGAUUAGGUGGUUGGCGGGGUAACGGCCCACCAAGGCGAAGAUCGGUAUCCGGCCUGAGAGGGCGCACGGACACACUGGAACUGAAACACGGUCCAGACUCCUACGGGAGGCAGCAGUGGGGAAUUUUGCGCAAUGGGGGAAACCCUGACGCAGCAACGCCGCGUGGAGGAUGAAGCCCUUUGGGGCGUAGACUCCUUUCGACCAAGACGAUAAUGACGGUACUGGUGUAACAAGCACGGUUAACUCUGUG
rnacentral:rRNA from 1 species